CAGGGCGUGGGGUAGCGGCUAACCCGCCGGUUUUGGGUACCGGAAGCCGUCGGUUCGAGUCCGACCGCCUUGACCA
rnacentral:tRNA from 1 species